rnacentral:rRNA from 1 species
AGAGUUUGAUCAUGGCUCAGGACGAACGCUGGCGGCGUGCUUAACACAUGCAAGUGGAGCGACGAACCGGGGCUUGCCCCGGGGCAGAGCCGCGAACGGGUGAGUAACACGUGGGUUACCUGCCCCAAUGACCGGGACAACCCGAGGAAACUCGGGCUAAUACCGGAUGUGGUCUUCGGACGAAAGGAAGCUUCGGCCUCCGCAUUGGGAUGGGCCCGCGGCGCAUUAGCUUGUUGGUGGGGUAACGGCCUACCAAGGCGACGAUGCGUAGCUGGUCUGAGAGGACGAUCAGCCACACUGGGACUGAGACACGGCCCAGACUCCUACGGGAGGCAGCAGUGGGGAAUCUUGCGCAAUGCGCGAAAGCGUGACGCAGCAACGCCGCGUGGGGGAAGAAGGCCUUCGGGUUGUAAACCUCUUUCAGUUGGGACGAAGGGCUCGCGGUUAAUAGCCGUGGAGUCUGACGGUACCUUCAGAAGAAGCCCCGGCUAACUACGUGCCAGCAGCCGCGGUAAUACGUAGGGGGCAAGCGUUGUCCGGAAUCAUUGGGCGUAAAGAGCGUGUAGGCGGCCCGAUAAGUCCGCUGUGAAAGUCCAGGGCUCAACCCUGGAAUGCCGGUGGAUACUGUCGGGCUCGAAUCCGGAAGAGGUGAGUGGAAUUCCUGGUGUAGCGGUGAAAUGCGCAGAUAUCAGGAGGAACACCAAUGGCGAAGGCAGCUCACUGGGACGGUAUUGACGCUGAGACGCGAAAGCGUGGGGAGCAAACAGGAUUAGAUACCCNNGUAGUCC